rnacentral:siRNA from 1 species
CUAAUUUGAAAUGACGGUUCUAUC